AGUUUAUUGAGAUUUUAUAAUAAAUAGUUUCUGCCCGGUGUAAUUUAAACGGCUGCGGUAAUUUGACUGUACAAAGGUAGCAUAAUAAUUUGUCUUUUAAUUGGAGGCUUGUAUGAAAGAAAGGUUGAGACUUAAUCUGUUUCUUUUUUUAUAAAUAAAUUUGUUGCUUUUGUGAAGAAACAAAAAUAUAAAAAAAAGACAAGAAGACCCCAUCAAGCUUAAUAUUUAUUUUUGUUUUAAAAAAAUUUUAAAAUAAGUUUUUAAAUUUGAAAUUAAAUUUGGUUGGGGUGAUUAGAAAGGAUAAAUUAUCCUUUUUUUUAGGAAAAACAUUUAGUUUAAAUAAGAACCAGAAUUUUUUGGUUGAAAAAAUAAGUUACUGUGGGGAUAACAGCGUAAUUUUUUUGGAGAGUUCAUAUUGAUAAAAAAGUUUGCGACCUCGAUGUUGACUUGUUGUUUCCUUUUAAAAUGCAGCAGUUUGUAGGGUUAGUCUGUUCGACUAUUAAAACAGC
rnacentral:rRNA from 1 species